GACGAACGCUGGCGGCGGGCUUAACACAUGCAAGUCGAACGGAAAGGCCCUGCUUUUGUGGGGUGCUCGAGUGGCGAACGGGUGAGUAACACGUGAGUAACCUGCCCUUGACUUUGGGAUAACUUCAGGAAACUGGGGCUAAUACAGGAUAGGAGCUCCUGCUGCAUGGUGGGGGUUGGAAAGUUUCGGCGGGUGGGGAUGGACGCGCGGCUGAUCAGCUUGUUGGUGGGGUAGUGGCUUACCAAGGCUUUGACGGGUAGCCGGCCUGAGAGGGUGACCGGCCACAUUGGGACUGAGAUACGGCCCAGACUCCUACGGGAGGCAGCAGGGGGGAAUAUUGCACAAUGGGCGGAAGCCUGAUGCAGCAACGCCGCGUGCGUGAUGACGGCCUUCGGGUUGUAAACCGCUUUCGCCUGUGACGAAGCGGGAGUGACGGUAAUGGGUAAAGAAGCACCGGCUAACUACGUG
rnacentral:rRNA from 1 species